CAUGUCCUUUUGAAUUUAAUUUAAGGUUUGACCUGCCCAAUGACAUUAGUUUAAUGGCCGCGGUAUUUUGACCGUGCAAAGGUAGCAUAAUAAUUAGUUUUUUAAUUGAAAGCUUGUAUGAAUGGUUGGACGAGAAAAUGACUGUCUCUGAUUAAUUUAAAUAUAACUUAAUUUUUAAGUUAAAAAGCUUAAAUUUUUUUAAAAGACGAGAAGACCCUAUAGAGUUUUAUUUAGCGUGGAUUUAUUUUAUUGGUAUAAUUUAUUUUUAAAUUUUUAGCUGAAUUUUUCUGGGGCGGAAUUGAGAUUUUUUAAACUCUUGUUUUUAUUUACAAUUAUAAUUGGAUUAUUAUGAUCCGUUUUUACGAUUUAAAGAUUAAAUUACCUUAGGGAUAACAGCGUAAUUUUUAUUGAAAGUUCAUAUUGAAAUAAAAGAUUGCGACCUCGAUGUUGGAUUAAAGUUUAAUUUUGGUGUAGGGACUAGAAAAUUGAGUCUGUUCGACUUUUAAAACUUUACAUGAUCUGAGU
rnacentral:rRNA from 1 species